UACGUAGGGUGCAAGCGUUAUCCGGAAUUAUUGGGCGUAAAGAGCUCGUAGGCGGUUUGUCGCGUCUGCUGUGAAAACUGGAGGCUCAACCUCCAGCCUGCAGUGGGUACGGGCAGACUAGAGUGCGGUAGGGGAGAUUGGAAUUCCUGGUGUAGCGGUGGAAUGCGCAGAUAUCAGGAGGAACACCAAUUGCGAAGGCAGCUCGCUGGGACGUAACUGACGCUGAGACGCGAAAGCGUGGGGAGCAAACAGG
rnacentral:rRNA from 1 species